rnacentral:tRNA from 1 species
GGGGAUGGAGCUCAGUUGGUAGAGUUCUUGCCUAGAAUGCAUGACACCAUGGGUUCAAUUCCCAGCACCUCA